CCGGGCUACCUGGGCCUCCCGAGCCCUGCACCGCUCCGGCCGCGCCGCGGAAGUGCCGGCGGGAACCUGGCCUCCGGGGCAGCGAGGGGAAGGUGUAUCUCGGUUCUCGCGGAGGAUGCAGUCAAAGGUGGGCUCACAAUUGAGCAAACUCUCACAAACGCCGCCGCCAGACUGUUGAGUUUUUAUUUAAUUUUGUAAAGUCAAUGUCAUUGAUUAGGGCUCUUAUGGCAAAGCUGGCUGUGAGUGAGGUAUGUUGUGCCUUCACAACAUACAACAAAUAGGCAUGACACAAGUUUGGGUGUAGCUGAGGUGGUUUAAGAGUUUACCACCUUUCAAUGCUUGUCUUCUUACACGCUAUCGGAUGUUCACUCCCUGUCAUAACUAGCUAUCCUUAACCUACUCAUAUCAAAAUGUUCUUAAUGCUUCUAGUAGGUUUCCCUUGACUCUAAUAAUUUUUACAGAAGCUAAUUUAAGGAACAGUUAGAUGAAUAAGAUAACACCUGAAAGAAAACAUAUGGAAGAGAGAGCAGUUAAAUGCAACAAUCACAGAAACAAGAGGUGCUAUUGACUAUUGAGUAUGUAUGUUUUGUUUUUUUUUUUUUAUUUUUCUUUGGAAGGUUGUUUGUAGUUUUUUUUCUUAGAACUGACUCCUUGGGGUAAAGGUGUGAUUAAUGUACUAGACCUACAAAUUACAUCCUUACUUUUACAGACCAGAAAUUAGUAAAGCAUGUGAUGUGCAGAUAUGUUUGCAGUACACAAAUAAAGGAAAAUGUUUCAAAAAUG